UACGUAGGGUGCAAGCGUUGUCCGGAAUUAUUGGGCGUAAAGAGCUCGUAGGCGGUCUGUCGCGUCUGCUGUGAAAACUCGGGGCUUAAUCCCGGGCCUGCAGUGGGUACGGGCAGACUAGAGUGCGGUAGGGGAGACUGGAAUUCCGGGUGUAGCGGUGGAAUGCGUAGAGAUCCGGAAGAACACCGGUGGCGAAGGCGGUCUGCUGGGCAGUAGCUGACACUGAGGCGCGACAGCGUGGGGAGCAAACAGG
rnacentral:rRNA from 1 species